CCUUGGUUCUAUUUUGUUGGUUUUUAGGAACCACGGUAAUGAUUAAUAGGGACAGUUGGGGACAUUCGUAUUUAAUUGUCAGAGGUGAAAUUCUUGGAUCUAUUAAAGACGAACUAUUGCGAAAGCAUUUGUCAAGGAUGUUUUCAUUAAUCAAGAACGAAAGUUAGGGGAUCGAAGACGAUUAGAUACCGUCGUAGUCUUAACCAUAAACUAUGCCGACUAGGGAUCGGGCGGUGUUAUUUUUUUAUGACCCGCUCGGCACCUUACGAGAAAUCAAAGUUUUUAGGCUCCGGGGGGAGUAUGGUCACAAGGCUGAAACUUAAAGGAAUUGACGGAAGGGCACCACCAGGAGUGGAGCCUGCGGCUUAAUUUGACUCAACACGGGGAAAC
rnacentral:rRNA from 1 species